UUCUGGUGAAAAGUUUAAAUUGAUGUCCUUUAUUUGAUCUUUCAGAAGGUUUUGAUUAUUUAAUAUGUGGUGGGAUUUUAUGAGUUGAUAACUUACUAGCGUUCAAACCUUAAAUUUGUUACUUAUUGAGCAUGGUAGAUAUAAUGUGUUUUUCAUCAAUAUACUAUACCAUAAAUCUGCAGCACUUGCCAUUUACUUUAAAAUCAGCAAAGCAAGCAAAAUACUUGGAUAUUAGUUUACAAAGUCAGCAUUGGCCUUCCAGACUGGUCAGAGAUUAAAUAUAUCAUUCUAUUUUGGAUUAAGUAAAAUGUUCAUAAACUGAUACUCUAUAUUAAAUGAGAUCUUUGUUACAUAGUUUCUAAAAUAACUCCAUCAAUAACAUUUGUUGUGUGAUAAU
rnacentral:lncRNA from 1 species